rnacentral:tRNA from 1 species
GGGCUGGGGCUCCAGCGGUAGAGUGCUCACCUAGCAUGUGUGAGGCCCUGGGUUCAAUCCUCAGCACCACA